rnacentral:rRNA from 1 species
UGGGGAAUUUUGGACAAUGGGGGAAACCCUGAUCCAGCCAUCCCGCGUGUGCGAUGAAGGCCUUCGGGUUGUAAAGCACUUUUGGCAGGAAAGAAACGUCAUGGGUUAAUACCCCGUGAAACUGACGGUACCUGCAGAAUAAGCACCGGCUAACUACGUGCAAGCAGCCGCGGUAAUACGUAGGGUGCAAGCGUUAAUCGGAAUUACUGGGCGUAAAGCGUGCGCAGGCGGUUCGGAAAGAAAGAUGUGAAAUCCCAGAGCUCAACUUUGGAACUGCAUUUUUAACUACCGGGCUAGAGUGUGUCAGAGGGAGGUGGAAUUCCGCGUGUGGCAGUGAAAUGCGUAGAUAUGCGGAGGAACACCGAUGGCGAAGGCAGCCUCCUGGGAUAACACUGACGCUCAUGCACGAAAGCGUGGGGAGCAAACAGG